rnacentral:rRNA from 1 species
AUGGCGACCGGCGCACGGGUGAGUAACACGUAUCCAACCUGCCGAUAACUCGGGGAUAGCCUUUCGAAAGAAAGAUUAAUACCCGAUGGCAUAAUUAGACCGCAUGGUCUUAUUAUUAAAGAAUUUCGGUUAUCGAUGGGGAUGCGUUCCAUCAGGCAGUUGGUGAGGUAACGGCUCACCAAACCUUCGAUGGAUAGGGGUUCUGAGAGGAAGGUCCCCCACAUUGGAACUGAGACACGGUCCAA